GGUUAAGCGACUAAGCGUACACGGUGGAUGCCCUGGCAGUCAGAGGCGAUGAAGGACGUGCUAAUCUGCGAAAAGCGUCGGUAAGGUGAUAUGAACCGUUAUAACCGGCGAUGUCCGAAUGGGGAAACCCAGUGUGAUUCGUCACACUAUCGUUAACUGAAUACAUAGGUUAACGAGGCGAACCGGGGGAACUGAAACAUCUAAGUACCCCGAGGAAAAGAAAUCAACCGAGAUUCCCCCAGUAGCGGCGAGCGAACGGGGAGCAGCCCAGAGUCUGAAUCAGCUUGUGUGUUAGUGGAACGGUCUGGAAAGUCCGACGGUACAGGGUGAUAGUCCCGUACACCAAAAUGCACAGGUUGUGAACUCGAAGAGUAGGGCGGGACACGUGGUAUCCUGUCUGAAUAUGGGGGGACCAUCCUCCAAGGCUAAAUACUCCUGACUGACCGAUAGUGAACCAGUACCGUGAGGGAAAGGCGAAAAGAACCCCGGCGAGGGGAGUGAAAAAGAACCUGAAACCGUGUACGUACAAGCAGUGGGAGCACCUUCGGGUGUGACUGCGUACCUUUUGUAUAAUGGGUCAGCGACUUAUAUUCUGUAGCAAGGUUAACCGUAUAGGGGAGCCGCAGGGAAACCGAGUCUUAACUGGGCGUUAAGUUGCAGGGUAUAGACCCGAAACCCGGUGAUCUAGCCAUGGGCAGGUUGAAGGUUGGGUAACACUAACUGGAGGACCGAACCGACUAAUGUUGAAAAAUUAGCGGAUGACUUGUGGCUGGGGGUGAAAGGCCAAUCAAACCGGGAGAUAGCUGGUUCUCCCCGAAAGCUAUUUAGGUAGCGCCUCGUGAAUUCAUCUUCGGGGUAGAGCACUGUUUCGGCUAGGGGGUCAUCCCGACUUACCAACCCGAUGCAAACUACGAAUACCGAAGAAUGUUAUCACGGGAGACACACGGCGGGUGCUAACGUCCGUCGUGAAGAGGGAAACAACCCAGACCGCCAGCUAAGGUCCCAAAGUCAUGGUUAAGUGGGAAACGAUGUGGGAAGGCACAGACAGCCAGGAUGUUGGCUUAGAAGCAGCCAUCAUUUAAAGAAAGCGUAAUAGCUCACUGGUCGAGUCGGCCUGCGCGGAAGAUGUAACGGGGCUAAACCAUGCACCGAAGCUGCGGCAGCGACACUAUGUGUUGUUGGGUAGGGGAGCGUUCUGUAAGCCUGCGAAGGUGACCUGUGAGGGUUGCUGGAGGUAUCAGAAGUGCGAAUGCUGACAUAAGUAACGAUAAAGCGGGUGAAAAGCCCGCUCGCCGGAAGACCAAGGGUUCCUGUCCAACGUUAAUCGGGGCAGGGUGAGUCGACCCCUAAGGCGAGGCCGAAAGGCGUAGUCGAUGGGAAACAGGUUAAUAUUCCUGUACUUGGUGUUACUGCGAAGGGGGACGGAGAAGGCUAUGUUAGCCGGGCGACGGUUGUCCCGGUUUAAGCAUGUAGGCUGGUUAUCCAGGCAAAUCCGGAUAAUCAAGGCUGAGGUGUGAUGACGAGGCACUACGGUGCUGAAGUAACAAAUGCCCUGCUUCCAGGAAAAGCCUCUAAGCAUCAGGUAACAUCAAAUCGUACCCCAAACCGACACAGGUGGUCAGGUAGAGAAUACCAAGGCGCUUGAGAGAACUCGGGUGAAGGAACUAGGCAAAAUGGUGCCGUAACUUCGGGAGAAGGCACGCUGGUGUGUAGGUGAAGUCCCUGCGGAUGGAGCUGAGACCAGUCGAAGAUACCAGCUGGCUGCAACUGUUUAUUAAAAACACAGCACUGUGCAAACACGAAAGUGGACGUAUACGGUGUGACGCCUGCCCGGUGCCGGAAGGUUAAUUGAUGGGGUUAUCCGUAAGGAGAAGCUCUUGAUCGAAGCCCCGGUAAACGGCGGCCGUAACUAUAACGGUCCUAAGGUAGCGAAAUUCCUUGUCGGGUAAGUUCCGACCUGCACGAAUGGCGUAAUGAUGGCCAGGCUGUCUCCACCCGAGACUCAGUGAAAUUGAACUCGCUGUGAAGAUGCAGUGUACCCGCGGCAAGACGGAAAGACCCCGUGAACCUUUACUAUAGCUUGACACUGAACAUUGAGCCUUGAUGUGUAGGAUAGGUGGGAGGCUUUGAAGCGUGGACGCCAGUCUGCGUGGAGCCAACCUUGAAAUACCACCCUUUAAUGUUUGAUGUUCUAACGUUGGCCCCUUACCGGGGUUGCGGACAGUGUCUGGUGGGUAGUUUGACUGGGGCGGUCUCCUCCCAAAGCGUAACGGAGGAGCACGAAGGUUAGCUAAUCCUGGUCGGACAUCAGGAGGUUAGUGCAAUGGCAUAAGCUAGCUUGACUGCGAGCGUGACGGCGCGAGCAGGUGCGAAAGCAGGUCAUAGUGAUCCGGUGGUUCUGAAUGGAAGGGCCAUCGCUCAACGGAUAAAAGGUACUCCGGGGAUAACAGGCUGAUACCGCCCAAGAGUUCAUAUCGACGGCGGUGUUUGGCACCUCGAUGUCGGCUCAUCACAUCCUGGGGCUGAAGUAGGUCCCAAGGGUAUGGCUGUUCGCCAUUUAAAGUGGUACGCGAGCUGGGUUUAGAACGUCGUGAGACAGUUCGGUCCCUAUCUGCCGUGGGCGCUGGAGAAUUGAGGGGGGCUGCUCCUAGUACGAGAGGACCGGAGUGGACGCAUCACUGGUGUUCGGGUUGUCAUGCCAAUGGCACUGCCCGGUAGCUAAAUGCGGAAGAGAUAAGUGCUGAAAGCAUCUAAGCACGAAACUUGCCCCGAGAUGAGUUCUCCCUGAGACUUUAAGUCUCCUGAAGGAACGUUGAAGACGACGACGUUGAUAGGCCGGGUGUGUAAGCGCAGCGAUGCGUUGAGCUAACCGGUACUAAUGAACCGUGAGGCUUAACCUU
rnacentral:rRNA from 1 species